rnacentral:lncRNA from 1 species
UUGCAGUUAACUAAGGAAAUGGAAACAAAGACCUGACAAGCUUGGAGACCAAAAUCAAUAGAAAAAUCGAAUUUCAAAGAAGAUCUGAAAGGGAGUUUGGUCGGUGAAAUGUUAAAAUUCGACUUCCUUCUUUCUCUGGGCUCGUAUGAAGCUGUGAAUGGACCGUGUGUUGCUGAACUCGCUAUUCCCGAUUUGUAAAGUUCUAUUCAUCUUCAUCGCUAUCCUUACUUGGUUAUUUGGGACUGUAUUACUGCCGCUAAGGUACUGUCUCCCAUUCUCGUUCUUGUAAUUCUCCUUUUGAUUCAAUAAAAAUAUGCUUACAAUGAUGAGGCAUUGUAUAAUUAUUUAUAUCCUUGUUACAUUCAGCAGUUCCUGUCAUUGUAGUGUAUCAUGAUUUGAUUUUAUAGCUAAAUAGAUUAAAUAUCUAUAUUUUCAAGUUGUCAUUUUUAAGAUGGUUCUGGAACCGGAUUAUUGGUUUGUCUAGUAUGCUACCAGAAUUUUUGGCUUAAAAUAUGGUAUACAGUGGGAGGCACUUUAGGGAUUUGCCCUAUGGUUUUGUUUAAUUAUCAAUUCCUUUUUGUAAGUAACUAAGUGUCAAGUUUUUUUUUAUUUGAGCUACAUGAUCCAUCUUGAUCAAAGUUAGUUUAUAAUGGACUGAGUUGGACCCUUUAGCAUAUGAGAAUUGGAAUGUGAGAAANNNNNNNNNNNNNNNNNNNNNNNNNGGAAAAUAAGAAGAGAAUUUGAAAGAUGGGGUUUUAAUUCAAAUUUUGGUUGUUCUUAUACCCAAAAUCUAGCCCAAACCACUCAAAGCCCAAAAAAAGACUUGCCCGACCCGAACCGACCCAAGACCCGAAUCCUUUCUUAUUAAACUGACCUAAUAACCUAGACUUAAGGAGAACAGACCUUACCCUGAGACCUUAGGAAGGUCUCAGGCUUUAGGAUUUCUUCUUCACAGGCUUUAGGAGACCCCUCCAUCUCCUCUCCAAACCAACAGCCAUGGCUUUAACCUCCUCACCACCAAAUCCUUCAGCACACGCUACUUAACUCCCCUUCUUCAUCCAUCACUUCCUCAUAGCCACCAAAUCGCCGGAAAUCCGACAUUCAUCAGCUCUCCCUUUCUCUUCAAUUAUUUUUUUUAUCUCAUCUCUAACCUUGGAGAAAUGAAAAUAAAGACCUGACAAGCUUGGAGACCAAAAGCAAUAGAAAAAUCGAAUUUCAAAGAAGAUCUGAAAGGGAGUUUGGUCGGUGAAAUGUUAAAAUUCGACUUCCUUCUUUCUCUGGGCUCGUAUGAAGCUGUGAAUGGACUGUGUGUUGCUGAACUCGCUAUUCCCGAUUUGUAAAGUUCUAAUCAUCUUCAUCGCUAUCCUUACUUGGUUAUUUGGGACUGUAUUNNNNN